AAAGAGAGCAAUUUUGGCCGUCA
rnacentral:piRNA from 1 species